rnacentral:lncRNA from 1 species
CAAAUUCUACAAGUUGCUUUUUAAAUAAAUCUAAUGUUCUCUUUAAAUAAUACUUCUUGCAGCAUCAUCAAAACAAUUCUUCAUGUUUUACCAAUGCUCCUUAUUGGUAACAAUCUCCCCCUUUUUGAUGAUGAUCAAAAAUUCACUUUUAAAAGCAACUCUGGUUUACCUGCAACACAUACAAGCUAAAAGACAACCACAAAGUUAGCAGUACCUGUACAAUUGUAAAAUAUUUCUCCCCUUAAUUCUCCUCUUUAUAAUUCUUCUCCCCCUUUUUUAUCAUAAGCAAAAAGAUUAAAUUAAAAAGCUCCCCCUAAAUAUGAUCUCCCCCUAAAUAUGAUCUCCCCCUCAAUUAAACAAUGUAUGCAUAAAACAAGAGAUCAUGUUAUUUAUAAAAGAAAGGAUUACAUCAACACCAUAAGGAGAAACAUAAAAGAGAAAUAUAACAUAGAGAUAAGAAUAACAACCAAUCCACAAAGCACUCAGACAAAAAAAUUCUAAUUCUAAAAUUCAGGACUUGGGAUCUCUCGAGUGAUUGAAGGUUUAGAUGAUUUUCAAUAUUUCCUAGAUGAACAUCAAUGUCAAGAAAUUGAGCAACCAUAUAAUCUUCAUGAGCUUGCUACCACUAAUAAAUUUGAUCAAAGUUAGCUUUCUGGACAAGACUCAUAUCUUCCAGUUAUCACAAAAGUUCUCAAUCAAAAGCUUCACCCCCUCUUUUAAAAAAAAUCAUCUAAAGUUUAUGCUCCCCAUAAAAUAGGUAAAUUAAAAAGGAUUUAAGUCCUUUAAAAGUACUCCCCCUAAAUNUAAUAAUCCCNUUUGAUAAAACAAACCAAAAAGAAUU